rnacentral:lncRNA from 1 species
GUGGAAUAGGUUUUCCUCUUUCAUACAUUUUAGAGGGAUUGUAAUUGUAUGAUUUUGGUGCCAAUACAUAAAUUACACAAAACUCUAGUUAUCUGAGAACCAAACACAACUUUUAUAAAAGGAUACAGGGAGAAUUAACUGCAGGUGUUUAAUGAAAUUUAGGCAGAUGAAUUUCUAGAAGGAAAUUUUUCCUUUAGUAAUCUCACAAAUUAAGCAUCUGUUACAUGCAGUUUUUUGGUUACAUGAUUCCACAGAUAAUACAAAAGAACUAAAUUAAAACUGAAAAUCUAGAAUAAAAAAAUAUGAUUUGGGGAGUUUCAACAACAUAAGCAAUUGAAUACUUGAACAAUUAUUAGACUUUUAAUUUUUCUUAUGAAAAUUUAAUGUGAUAUAUUUGCAACUUUAUUAGUGUUGUAUGAAAGAUUAAGAAUAACUAAAUAGCAAAGCAUUUUACAAAUUAACUGUUCUUUCAAAAAUAGAUAAUAAAGCAUCUGAUUCACAUACAAUUUUUUUCCAUCCAUCU